UUCAACGUGUUAGCCAGGAUGGUCUCGAUCUCCUGACCUCGUGAUCCACCCGUCUCGGCCUCCCAAAGUGCUGGGAUUACAGGCUUGAGCCACCACGCCCGGCCAACCUCUUUCUAGAUUGAUUGAAGCCAUUCAUAUAUUUCUAUUUCUCAGGGUUUUAUAUUACUUAUCCUAGCAUAUAUAGAAGUGUGUAUAUGGUUUAGAUAUCGGUAUUGUGUGUAUGUUUAUGGACAUACACACAAACUUAGAAAAAUGAGCAAAAGUCAUGAAAAAUAGUUUACAGAAAAAGAUAAACAAAUGGUCCUUCUAUAAUUAUGAAAAGAUGUUCAACUUCCCUCAUAUAAGAGAACUUCCCUCAUAAUAAGAGAAAUGCAAAUGAAAGCUGCAGAGAGAUUCCAGCUCUCACCCAUUAGACAGCAGAUAUUCAAAAAGCUUGACAAGGCUAUAAGGAAAAGUGCCUCUCAUACUGUGCUGGUUAGAGUGCAAAAUUGCACAGUGCCUACAGAGAGAAAUCUGGCAAAAUCUAACAAAACUACAUAUUAAUUUUCCCUUUGACCUAGAUAUCUCCCUUCUGAAACUUUACCUUGAAGUUUGUAACAAAUAUGAAGCAACAUACGUAUGAGAUUAUUCACUGCAGCAUUCCAGAUAAUAGCAAAAUGUUAUUUACAACCUAAAUGCUUAUCCAUAGGAGAUGAAUGUACUAAACUAGUACGACUGUGCAAUGGAAAACAAUAAAACUGUACAAAAAUCAGGAAGAUCUCCAAGAAGUCAUCUUUAGAAGAUGUAUACGAGGAUGAAGAGGAAUGGAUAAGAAUGAGUAAGCCUUUUCAAAAAUAUUUUGACUUUUGAAAUGUAAGUAUUUUACAUAUUAUUCAAAUAUGUAAUAAUAUUUUAUUAUUAAAAUAAAAUAAAACCCAGUAAAAAAAUUUGAAAGCAAACAGAAUCAAAUGAACCUAAUUUAUAUUGAUAAUAUAAGCACACAGUAAAAAAUUCAGAUAAAUUUUGAACAAAGUACUCCCUACAUAUGCUAAAAAUUAUUGUGGAAAAGUCUGUUGGGAAAUCAGAUAUCUGCACAGUCUCAAAGUAUCACCCCACAGAUUGCUGGUUAAUUACAAAGGGGAAAAGACAGUUUUGCAGUAAGUGUACUGGCAGACACCACCUUAACCAAUAAAAAAAAAAAAAAAAAA